UUUUUCUGAGAUGGCAUCAAGAGGCUGCAAGCAUCCGGUAGACGCAUUUUGCUAUGUCUGCAGCCAAUUUAUAAGACAAGAGCGAAAAAAAUACUCUGUGGAAGCAUCUGCUAAGAUGUGUGAGGCCUAUAAGGCAUAUUUCGGCAUGCCUGUCGGGGAUCAAGACAAACCCUGGGCACCUCAUUUCACUUGCGAGCAAUGCAAAAAAACUCUGGAAGAAUGUUACAGGGGGGGGAAAAGAGCCAUGAAGUUCGCUUUCCCAAGAAUUUGGCGGGAAUCUACUGACCACUCAAGCAACUGCUACUUCUGCAUGGUCGACCCUUCCAAACGUCGGACUGGGCAGGAAUGCACCUGCUAUCAUGUAUCCGGACCGCCCUUCAUCCAUCGCCCCGGUGCCACACUGCCAUGAGCUCCCCAUACCCACUCCUCCGGAGAGAGAGCAGCCGUCUUUAGAAGAGAGCAGUAAGUCAGAGAGCGAGGAAGACGUUGUAUAUCCAGAUGACAAUUUCAGAGGUGUAGUUGAGGACAGAAACCCAUACUACCCCAACCAAAAAGACCUCAACGACUUGAUCAGAUAUCUUGGUCUCACCAAGUCCAAUGCCGAGCUUUUGACAUCUAGGCUCAAGUAGUGGAACUUGUUGGAUGAAAGUGUGCAAGUCGCAGAUCAGAGGAAGCAUCACCAAUCUUUUUACAGCUUCUUCACCCGUCAAGAUGGGCUCUACUUCUGCCACAAUGUGACCAGUCUGUUCGAGGCAAUCAGAAUCACCUGUAACCAGAAUGAGUGGCGCCUCUUCAUUGACAGCUGAUCCAGGAGCCUCAAAGCCGUGCUGCUCCAUAAUGGUAACAAGUACCCGUCUCUUCCUCUGGCUCAAUCGGUGCACCUCAAAGAGGAUUACAACAACAUCAAGACCUUGCUGGACGCCUUGAAGUAUGAUGAGUACGGUUGGGAGGUCAUUGGAGACUUCAAAAUGGUGGCAUUUCUGAUGGGUCUCCAAGGCGGUUUUACCAAGUUUCCCUGCUAUCUUUGCCUUUGGGACAGCAGGGACACCAAAGCGCACUACCACAGGCGGGACUGGCCACAGUAGACCGAGUUUUCUGUGGGGACGAACAACGUCAAGUGGGAGCUACUGGUGGACCCCCAGAAGGUGCUGAUGCCACCACUGUACAUACAAUUGGGCCUCAUGAACAAUUUGUCGGAGCUGAAGAUAAGGAGUCGGCAGACUUCAAGUGCCUUCAAGACUUCUUCCCUAAGCUGUCUGAGGCAAAGGUCAAAGCCGGCGUUUUUGCCGGAUCACAGAUAAAGAAGAUCCUGGAGUGCAAUGAAUUCCCCAAGAAGCUCACUAGUAAGGAAAAAGUGGCUUGGGACAGCUUUGUCACAGUGGUUCGUGGCUUCCUGGGCAAUCACAAGGUUGAAAACUAUGUGGCGCUGGUUGAGACUCUGGUGAAGAACUACGGCACGAUGGGCUGUAGGAUGUCCCUCAAAGUCCAUAUCCUUGAUGCUCAUCUUGAUAAAUUCAAGGAGAACAUGGGAGUGUACUCGGAGGAGGAAGGCAAGCGCUUCCACCAGUAUAACGAGAACAUGAUGAUGUGAAGUUUUCGUGACUGCAGGAAUCCAUACUGUUUGUUUCUUUUGGUAAAGUGACGUAUAAAAAUAAUAAUAGAUCAUGACGUUUCGAUUGCCACACAAGCGAUCGUCCUCAAGUGAUCGUCCUCAGGACAAAAAAGACCAUUCAAUGAAACUGGUAUUGCCAAACACAUCCCAAUGUUGAAAUAUUACCCACUCAACUUGGAUUACACGUCGCAACAUGACCCCCUACUUCAACACCUGGCACGACUCUCCUGAACAAGAGUCUCGAAACUCAGCGAGGCUUCCCUGGGUAAACAACCGUAAUAACAAUAAAUAAUGGUUGACUGAUUCGA